rnacentral:lncRNA from 10 species
CGUGCGGGGGGGUGGGGGGUGUCACAGAGCUGGGAACUCGCUCAGAGCCAGGGUCUCUGCUGGGGUCAGCGUCUGUACGCUAAAGCCAGGGCGCAAAGUGCGUGGGCACUGCGGACACUAGAGGCUUAUGGCGCUGGAAAUACAAGGCCGAGUUGCCGGCGCAAAGAGUUCCCCGGGCGGGUUGGUGAUGCGGCGCGCUUUGAUAACAGGUUAAUCCGGCCAACAUUCGCUCCGCGAGAGAGCCAUCGGAGGGCUCCGGGAGACUGCGGCGCCACGGAGGGAGAGGCGGCGAGAGGCCCCUCUGCGAGCACCCUCUGGGCGCAGUGCGGUGGGCUAUGCUCUGCGCAGCCCCGGGCGCGCCUGGGUUCUCAGAGCCCAAGACCUGAGCCGCUCCGAGCGCAGGGCGCCAGUUCUCUUUCAGAAGCGGGAGAAGUUCAGGUGCCCAACACCUUGAUCAGUGCCUGCUUUGUAGUAGGCAUUCAAAUACUGUGGACUGGAUGAAUGGAGUCACUUCCCUUCCAACCUGCACACCAACGUGGUUGAACUGCCUCCUUUCUAAGUGCCAAAGUCUGUUUUACAAGGCUGAUAUCAAAGGAGCAUUACAAAAUAUUGUCUAACAGAAGUACCAGGGCUGGAUCCCAAAGUUUUGUGUAGAUCUUGAUAAAGAGUUUGGAUUUUAUUCUAACAAGAGUGAAGAGCAUGACAAUGUUUGCAGAAGAGUGAUGGCUUCUUUCAGGCAACAGUGACAAUUACACCUCCUCUUUUUCUCUUUGAUCCUCCACCCUCUCCCUCCAGCACCUGGUACAAAGCUGGGUACCCAGCAGACACUCUGUAAAUUAAAGUGCUGCCAGCCUGAACAAUCUCA